UACGUAGGGGGCAAGCGUUGUCCGGAUUUAUUGGGCGUAAAGAGCGUGUAGGCGGCCAGAUAGGUCAGCUGUGAAAACUCGAGGCUCAACCUCGAGAUGUCGGCUGAAACCAUCCGGCUAGAGUCCGGAAGAGGAGAAUGGAAUUCCCGGUGUAGCGGUGAAAUGCGCAGAUAUCAGGAGGAACACCGGUGGCGAAGGCGGAUCUCUGGGCCUUACCUGACGCUGAGGCGCGAAAGCUAGGGGAGCAAACAGG
rnacentral:rRNA from 1 species